GUGCUCGCUUCAGCAAUACAUAUACUAAAAUUGGAAUGAUACAGAGAAGGUUAGCAUGGCCUCUGUGCAAGGAUGACACAAAUUCAUGAAACGUUUCUUUUUAAA
ensembl:snRNA RNU6-270P RNA, U6 small nuclear 270, pseudogene